GACGAACGCUGGCGGCGUGCUUAACACAUGCAAGUCGAACGAAGAGGGACGGAAGCUUUCCUCUAUCAGACUUGCUGGCGAAUGGGUGAGUAGCACGUAAUCAACCUGCCCUUCAGAGGGGAACAACAGUUGGAAACGAUAGCUAAUACCGCAUACGAACUAAUCUUGGCAUCGAGGAUGGAUGAACGGUGGCCUCUACAUGUAAGCUAUCACUGUAGGAUGGGAUUGCGUCUGAUUAGCUAGUUGGCGGGGUAACGGCGCACCAAGGCGAUGAUCAGUAGCCGGUCUGAGAGGAUGAACGGCCACAUUGGGACUGAGACACGGCCCAGACUCCUACGGGAGGCAGCAGUGGGGAAUCUUCCGCAAUAGACGAAAGUCUGACGGAGCAACGCCGCGUGAGUGAUGACGGCCUUCGGGUUGUAAAGCUCUGUUGAUCGGGACGAAAGGCCUUCUUGCUAAUAGUGAGAAGGAUUGACGGUACCGGAAUAGAAAGCCACGGCUAACUACGUG
rnacentral:rRNA from 1 species